UGCGUGGGAAUUACAUUUUAAUGAAUGGGUCAUAUUUAACCUUAGGUUGGAUGGUUUUUGUCUUUGAAUAAUGGUUUGAUAAUGGUAUGCCCUUAACCUGUUUGUGAAAAUGUCAAUGCAAAGAAUCUUGUCACAUAUGAAUUGUGUUUGAACUAAGGCAUUGGCCUAUGAAUUUUGAUGAUUCUAAAGGUUUUACGAAGGCCUUG
rnacentral:lncRNA from 1 species